GACGAACGCUGGCGGCGUGCUUAACACAUGCAAGUCGAACGGAAAGGCCCUGCUUGCAGGGUUCUCGAGUUGCGAACGGGUGGGUAACACGUGGGUGAUCUGCCCUGCAAUUCGGGUUAAGCCUGGGCGAGUGGGUCGAGUACCGGCUAUGUACUUCCAUGUAGCGUGGGGGGUGGCAAUAUUUAUCAGUCUUGGAUGGGCGUGCGGACGAUCAGCUGGCUGGUGAGGUAGUUGGCAACCAAAGCGUUGACGGGUAGCCGGCAUGGGAGGGUGGACGGCAACAUUGGGCCUGAGAUACGGCCCAGACUCCAACGGGAGGCAGUAGUGGAAAAUAUUACAGAGUGGGCGGGAGCCUUAUGCAGCGACCCCGCGUGGGGGAUGACGGCUUUCGGGUUGUAAACCUCUUUCGACGGGGACGAAGCCUCGGUGACGGUACCUGUAUAGGAAGCACCGGCUAACUACGUG
rnacentral:rRNA from 1 species